CCAGUACCAGAGAAGUUUGGCCUGGCUUUUUAAGAGGCUGGCUAACUGGAAGGAAAUAUCAGAACAUAUUCAAAGGCUCUUUUAUAACCACCAUGGAGUAAUUGUGAGUAUUUUGGUAUUUUCAAAAGAAUAGCAACUCGCUGAGGGAAUUAAAUUAAGCUAAUGAAAGAAAGCCUUUUACUUAGAACCAAUAAAACGUAUUAGACUUUGCAAUAAUCUGUCAGAAGUGGUUUUGAAGCCCUUUGCCUUGAUUUUAUUUGAAGUAGAAUUGGACAGUGCAUUUAAGGUAGUGUGGGAAAGGCUCUGGAGCUGCUGUGGGGAGCUGUAAAUUGGCUGUUGGAUCUCUCACUCAGCUCCCACAACCUCCCAGGAAUUGAUGGAAGAUCUCCCUGAACCAUCAGGCUCUGCCUGCCUGAGAUGCAUCGACUUCAGCAGAGAUGGGCUGGGGGAACCUGAAACAAAGCAGCUUUGGGGUGAUUUCCCCGUCUGAGAUGGGCUCAUUUUCCUGCCAGUCAUCCCUGGCCAGCUGUGCCUUCAGCGCUGGGAGAGCUGCAGCCUCUUCCAGAGGUCUGCCUGGCUCAGGGUCUGGUGUAAAUCAGAAGCCAUGGACACACAGCACCUUUUUGGGGCAGAUUUCAGUAGAAGCAGCAAUUUGCUGGGCUUUGGCUGCCAGCCCCAGGCUCUGGGAUAACAACACACCUGGGCAGGGUGCCCUGAGGUUUUCUGCUCGAGGACAGCUGAGAUGUUUCCUGGCAAUUAAGGCAGAUUUUUUACGAGAAUAAUAACAGACAAUGGCUGCUACUUCCCUUUAUUUUGCACCUUUUCUUUCCUCUCAGAAAAUGGACUUCCUGCAGUAAUUGCAAAGGAUCAGAGCUGCUCUGAGGACCUGGGCUCCUCCAACAAUCUCAAAAUCCUUGUCCAUGGAGGUGACUCAGUACAAAACACUGGACUGACUUUACAUUUUAUUUCCACUUCAUUACAUCUCUACUUAAAAAGAAUGUUUUUUUCACUAUGCCAGGUGUAUGUUGCGAUUUCAAACAUCAUUUUGAGGCAUAUUAAUUUGGAAAACACAUCUGAGGCACAAAUCUAAUAGCUGAAACAUUUUAUUUACUUAUGUUUCUAAUACUGAGGUAGCUCCACGUAUUGCGUGGGUUUUUUCCACCCCAUUUAAAAAGAAAUUGCAUCUGGGUCAGACUAAAAGCUGAAGAGAUUUUAGCCCAGCUGGUGUAUUGUGGUUCUUGUUUGUUUUCCUUCUUCAAAGUAAUGUGAGAAAUCAUCCUGAGAAUUGCUGAAAUCGUUUCCUAUAUGAUACCACAUCUUUUUUUUUGAAAGUGAAGCUGUGUCUUGCUCACUUAUAAAUCCUAUCAUGAAUACAAGAGAAACAAAACUCAUCUACAAUGUUAUCACAUGCCUCAAGCAGCAGGAGAGUGAUUUUCCCCUUAAUAAAGAAAUUGCUUGUUUACA
rnacentral:lncRNA from 1 species